CGGAGGAUCCAAGCGUUAUCCGGAAUCAUUGGGUUUAAAGGGUCCGUAGGCGGUUUAGUAAGUCAGUGGUGAAAGCCCAUCGCUCAACGGUGGAACGGCCAUUGAUACUGCUAAACUUGAAUUAUUAGGAAGUAACUAGAAUAUGUAGUGUAGCGGUGGAAUGCUUAGAGAUUACAUGGAAUACCAAUUGCGAAGGCAGGUUACUACUAAUGGAUUGACGCUGAUGGACGAAAGCGUGGGUAGCGAACAGGAUUAGAUACCCUGGUAGUCCACGCCGUAAACGAUGGAUACUAGCUGUUGGGGGCAACUUCAGUGGCUAAGCGAAAGUGAUAAGUAUCCCACCUGGGGAGUACGUUCGCAAGAAUG
rnacentral:rRNA from 1 species